GGAAGGAGACUGCGCUGACGGAGGAGGAGGGGGCAUCAGAAGGAGAUUGCACCGAUAGGGUGCGGGGCAUGGUUUCAGAGAGACUGCGCUGCUAGAUGCGUAGCCCUCAAUGGUCUUGAAUGGAGGUUUGUUGUCCUUAAUUGAAGCUCCCACCCACUUCCAACAGUGCUCUCCCCUACCCCUUCACAUCCUCUCAAAAUAUCCUGACAGCAUUACAGGUGUUCUUAUAGCAGCAGUUCAAUAAGACAGCUCACCACCAGCUUCUUCAGGCCAACUAGGGAUAGGCAAUAAAUUCCCCGAUCCCCACUCAUCUACUUUGGCUCCUGCUUGAGCAAUAUUGCGACUUAAAAAUUCUCAUCCCUUGUUUUCAAAUCCCUCCGUCACCUCUCCUCCUCCUUUCUCUUAGAUUCCAAUUCUCCAAUAUAUCGGCACUCUUCAAAUUAUGGCCUUUUUGAGAACUUCCAUCAAUAGGUGUUGGGACUGUCCAUGAUAGAACAGCAUAAAAUGGCCAACGAAAGCCCCAACAAGCUUUGCAGUACAUGUUUAACAGAAAUUAUAAAGUGUGGGAUGCGCUUGCUUAAAGUAGUCUCAGCACAUGUAACACUGACUGCCCGUUUUCUCACUAAGAUUGGAUAUGCGACAUUCUUUGCCCAUUAAAAACGUUUCCCACCAGUCGUUUCUCUUAAAAUUUCUCUAAUCAAUCAGUUAUAAUACGACAAGUAGGUUUCAAUUAAGGUUCUUCAAGAUAAUCCUAGAUGUAUUUUCCAAAAUAUAAAAUCACCAAAAACAUUAGAAAGAAAGGUUUAAAAAAACUAAUUACAAGGGGCCUCCCUUAUCUCAUAGCAAGGACAGCGGCUAGAAGAAUAACCAAACACAGAUGUCAUAGUUGAGAGAUAAAAGGUUACUGUAAUCAUAGAGAUGUCAACUCCUCACACACCAAAAGGGCCCAAUCAGAUCACAGCAAUUAGCAAUUACUAACAGACUCUACACCUUGUUAUCUCAGACUCCAGCAUUGGCAGUUCUUACUAUCUCUGAGUGAGAACUAACAUAGAGUGAUAUACCAAAAGCCCAAUCACAGUUGGACAACCUAGCACUAAUUAACCAAUAGCAUAUAGCGGGAGGGAGUAUGUGCCACCAUGUUAAAGUUAGAAGAAAAUGUAUAAAAGGCAAUUUACUUGUAUUUGAAAUUAGAGCGUCAUUGACUUUUCUUCCGAUCUGAACCGAAGAUUAAGGGGGUAAUUGGACUCUCACAUCAAGGCCAGAUUCAGGAUGAUCUUUGGCCUCUGCCUGCAUUGGAUUGGCAGAUGCUUGAAUAAAUUACCACGUGCGUGAACUCCUAAAAUUUAUUACCCAUUGAAAGGUCGCUCCUACAACAUGGAAUUCAGGGCUAUCUAAAGGGCUGUGUUAGUCUGUGCUGGAGCCAGGGAGAAGGGGUUCAGAGAAGCACCACCCACACAUACACCAAGACGAUGUCAGUGAAUCAGUCGGUGACUUUAUCACUUGCAAUGAGUCAGACAUUCUGAAUUAAACUGCAUCUGGAGUUGUGUGUGUGUCGUUUGGGUAUUCUUAACUCAGGACUGAUAUUAUUGCCUUAGAGGGAGUGCAAUGAAAAUUCACCAGACUUGUUCCUGGAAUGGUGGGAUUAUUUUAUGAAGACAGAUUGGGCAAACUGAGCCUGGAUUCUCUACAUUUUUGAAGAAUGAAGCAUGAUUUCAUCAAAAGCCACAACAUACUUAAAAGGGAUAACAGGGUAGGAGGUUUCCCCUCAUUGGGAUAUUUAGAACUAAGAGCACCAUUUAAAAACAAGGGGGAUGACAGUUAGGUUUGAAAUGAGAAGAAAUUUUAUUUAUGCAGAGGGUUGUGCCCCUUAGGAAUUCUCUACCACAGAGGGCCGGGAAGCUCAAUCUUUGAGUAUAUUAAGAUAGAGAUUGAUAGAUUUCUUAUUCCCAAUGGUGGACAGGGUCAUGUGGAUCAGGUGAAUACAAAGGAUCGAAGUGAUUGAUUAGUCAUGACCAUAUUGAAUGGCUGAGCAGGUUCAAUGGGCUGAAUAGUCAACUCCUGUUCCUGUGUUGUGCGAUGCAAACUGAAACCUGGUGUUAAGGAAUAAAUUAAAACUGGUCUCCAAAA